ensembl:lncRNA
CUUGGAGUUCUUGAGAACUUCCGGGUUCUAGAACACUUGGAACUUGCUCUGGCCUUUUGGACGAGCAUCUAGCCUUAGAUGGUGGUGGGUUUACUCCUCCAACCUCCUAAAAUUGCACGGCCAGGGUCAUGUGGCCCCUCCCGUCCCCGGGAGCCACAGAAGGGCUCUAGGUGGUGGUCUGUGCGGAUGUUAGUGAGAGCCCCGAUUAGGGCCUGACUGGUUUCACGAUCUAAUGACCAUGUGUGAGCUUGUGCUUUCCAACUCGCCGCAGGGACAAUGGGUCCCGGACCAAACGCUAUGCGGAGGUGAAGUUUGGGGCGUUCGCUCUGCCGCUGGAUUCGGAAGAACCGAACCUGGGGUCCAGCUCUGGCUUCUGUAUCUGUGUCUCUGAGCCGCGCGGGUCUUCAGGGCCGAGGCCAGGCCGGAGUGGGCUUGGCCAAGGGACGGGAUCUGCGGGUCUUUGGAGGAUCCUGGCUUUGUCCGCGGGGACUGGCGGAUCAGGAGGCGGCAAUCUCCAGUCUCAUUCUCGGGAUUCUGCACUUGGAUUCUAUUUGGGGUGAAAUUUCUAAGCUGGGGUCCACCUCGCGAGCUCUCUGACUUCCUUUUCCCGGAGGACGGUGGUCCCUGGUCAUUCACGCCGAACGCUUGGCCUCAGGGCUGGGGUCUGACCUACCCUGAGCCUGUAGGAACUUUCUCUUCCGUCCCCGCCGUGCCGCAUCUCCCUCGGUUUACGAACUCUGAACUCUUCCGGGCAUCACUAAAAGAAUCGGUUUUAUGGACGUAGUGUGUCGAUGAAGGUAUCCAAAGACAUGAACGCCGCUCGUUCCCGCGGUGGCUCGUUGGUCUAGGGGUAUGAUUCUCGCUUUGGGUGCGAGAGGUCCCGGGUUCAAAUCCCGGACGAGCCCUGAUGCACUUUUAGUUUUUACUCACAGCGUGAAGGCUUUGGACUUCAGCGAAAAGCUAGAUCUAGAUCCAAGGACAGAGUCGAAGGCAUAGCUCUUGUCCCCACAUCUGUUCUGCCGGAUAUGUCUGGUCCGACGCAGCCAUGGGGUCUAGGUGCAGCUGAAGGACAAAUGGCAUGCGCCCUGGACUGGAGCAGAGAACAAGGACAAAUCCCUCCCAGCCAUCUCUGUCUCCGCAGAUGUCUGGGUGUCGUGUACCAGGCCUCCCUGCUCUAGGCGCGUUGUUUUUCUUCGGUUAGACAAGCGUCAGACCCCAGGCAGGCGGCAGCAACGGAAGUGGUGUGCUCUAAUGUUGUGGCUCUCAUACUAGGCUGUAUAGCUCUUGUGUAGAUCUAGAACAUUCCUUGGACAGUGGGAGCAACUAAGGUUGCAGCUUUUGGAUGGCCUGGGUAUCUGGAUUCCUCAGCUCUCAUCUGAAAUGAUCUGCAGGAGAUUGUUAUUGACAACCAUACUGAUUAAGCCAAUUAAAAGUUUUAAGUGCUUUUUAUUCAGUGGUUCUCAACCUUCUCAAUCCUAAUGCUGAGAUCCUUUAAUACAGCUCCUUAUGCUGUGGUGAUCCCCAACCAUAAAAUCAUUUCGUUGCUACUUCAUAACUGCAAUUUUGCUACUGUUUUGAAUCAUAUUGGAAUGUAAAUUAUAAAGUAAUUUAUAAAGUAAAGUAAAGGCAAAACCCACACUGGGCAGUGGUGGUGCUCACCUUUAAUCCCAACACUCAGGAGGCAGAGACUGGUGGAUUUCCAUGAGUUUGAGGCCAGUCUGGUCUAUAGAGAGAG